GAAUCUUGUGAGGAUAGCGAGAUGAGAACCCAUGGGUUCGAUUCGAGCGAUAGCGAGAACAAUGAUUGCAAAGCAAUCACCCGAAAGGCAAGGCCAUUAGGCCGAAGUCAAUCCCACCUCUUCCAUCA
rnacentral:sRNA from 1 species